UAUCAGAUUCAGAUAAUAAUUUGAAUGUCUGGAUGCUUAUCUGCAGCCAACCUAUUGGGAUGGACCUAGGAAAUCAGCAGGAGAAAUGAGGAAGAGAAAGAAGUAACUGCCCUAAAUUCCUGAAGAUCAGACACAUGUUAGGUCAAGAUAAAAAGGGUAUAGAUGCUGUAAUGAGAAAGGAAAAACUUGAGUUUUGGUAGGAUUUUGUCUUGAAGAUGGGUUGGAUAUAUGCCUGAUGUAUCAGAAAUCAAGGAACAAAGACAGAAUGGUGAAGCAGUAGUUUGUGGUAGGAUGCCACAAUAGAUGGCAAUAGAUGGGACAUUGCAUACAACAGUCACUUCCUUUAGAAACCCUUUUUUAGUAUGGAUAUGGAAAAGAGAGAAUUUUUCCUAAUACUGAGAUACUGAGAAUUUGGAGACAAGGAGAACACUUGAAACAUGUAUGGAAUAUUUGCCUAAAAAGAAAGUAAAAGCAGUAUCUUAGGUUUUGCUUGCAUAGGCAUUCUGAAUCUUUUCUUUGUCUCAGCGGCUUUGGGAAUUAAGGUAUAGAGGUGUAUGUUCUAGUGAAGCUGGAUGGAGGGGGCUGAUGGUUUUGCACUGAGAUUAGAUUUACUCGGAAAAGGGCUCUGAAGACACAUACACAUUUGUACUUUUUCCUUUGAACUGAAGUGUAUAAUAUAGGGACCAAACUAGCUCACACUGAAAUCAAUGGAACAUGAGUGUACAACUUAAACAGUCUGCCUCCAAGAAGGGGAAAAGAAAGACUUUCCUCACUAUCUUCUUUUAUGAUCAGUCUCAUGGAUGUUAAAAUUGAUUUGUGGUGCCUUGAGACAGAAGUUCUCCUCUUCUAUUUGGAAUUGCUUUGCCAGGGAACCCAGCAAUGAGCUGAAAACUAGUCACUCUCACUCACUGCAAACAAAGCAUCAGCAAAGAUUGUAUGAUAAUCCCAACUGGCAAUAAGUGCUCUAAUGAGAGAUACUAAUUUGUUGCAUGUUCAUCACAUUAAUCUUGUCGCAAGUGAUACUGAAACAAGAGGUAUCAGUAAGUCUGCCCUGUAGACACUUUACUUGAACAUUCUAAUUCCGCUAGUUCUGGGUCAUUCAUGUGGAUUGUUUCACCCUUGGCUUCUCUAACAGUGAUAAAAACAUAGAUCUUUUUCAGGGUAAAUGCAAAUUGCUUCUUUAUUUAUCUUGUUGCCCCCCCACAAACUCUACUAUUAUAUCUAGAUUUCACUUGAGCAGCAGCCCUUUCUCAUUGUACAAGAUAAAAGAUCUCAGGAAACUGCUAAAAGAAAUACAGCCUAUAAAUACUGCAUGAUUUUACCGUU
rnacentral:lncRNA from 1 species